CCCGUCUCUACUAAAAAUACAAAAAUUAGCCGGGCGUGAUAGCGCGUGCCUCUAAUACCAGCUACUCUGGAAGUUGAAGCAGGAGAAUCGCUUGAAACAGGGAGGCAGAGGCUGCAGUGAGCCGAGAUCAUGCCACUGUACUCCAGCCUGGGAGACAGAGCGAGACUCCAUCUCAAAAAAAAAAUAAAAUUGUAACUUGAUUUUUCACUGCACUCCCCCUCAACCCCAUGAACUAUAUGGAAUUCAUCACAUAUUCUAUCUCCUUCCCUCUCCCCUCCCAAUUUUUACAAGUGGUUUUUAUUUUUUUACUGUUUAUUUUUAUUUAUGUAUGUAUGGUUUUUUUUUAUUGAGACGGGGUCUUGCUCUGUUGCCCAGGCUGUAGUGCAGUGACACUAUCUCAGCUCACUGCAACCUCCACCUCCCAGGUUCAAGUGAUUUCCAACUAAUUUUUGUAUUUUUACUAGAGACGGGUUUUCACCAUCUUGGCCAGGCUGGUCUCAAACUCCUGACCUCAAGUGAUCCGCCUGCUUCAGCCUCCCAAAGUGCUAGGAUUACAAGCAUGAGCCACCAUGCCCAGCCUUUAUUUAUUUAUUUAUUUUCGAGACAGAGUCUCGGUCUGUCCCCCAGGCUGGAGUGCAGUGGUGUGAUCUUGGCUCGCUGCAGCCUCUGCCUCCCAGAUUCAAGCCAUUCUGGUGGCUUAGCCUCCCAAGUAGCUUGGUUCAAUGGCGUGUGCCACCAUGUCACCUA
rnacentral:lncRNA from 10 species